rnacentral:rRNA from 1 species
CUUAACACAUGCAAGUCGAACGGACAAUUAUUUAUAGCCUCUGGCUAUAGGAAAUUGUUAGUGGCAGACGGGUGAGUAAUGCGUAGGAAUCUACCUAGUAGUACGGAAUAGCCAUUAGAAAUGGUGGGUAAUACUGUAUAAUCCCCGAGGGGGAAAGAUUUAUCGCUAUUAGAUGAGCCUACGUUAGAUUAGCUAGUUGGUGAGGUAAUGGCUUACCAAGGCUAUGAUCUAUAGCUGGUCUGAGAGGACGAUCAGCCACACUGGAACUGAGAUACGGUCCAGACUCCUACGGGAGGCAGCAGUGGGGAAUAUUGGACAAUGGGCGAAAGCCUGAUCCAGCUAUGCCGCGUGAGUGAAGAAGGCCUUCGGGUUGUAAAACUCUUUCAAUAGGGAAGAUAAUGACGGUACCUAUAGAAGAAGUCCCGGCAAACUCUGUGC